UACGUAGGGUGCAAGCGUUGUCCGGAAUUAUUGGGCGUAAAGAGCUCGUAGGCGGUUUGUCGCGUCUGCUGUGAAAACGCGAGGCUCAACCUCGCGCCUGCAGUGGGUACGGGCAGACUGGAGUGCGGUAGGGGAGAUUGGAAUUCCUGGUGUAGCGGUGAAAUGCGCAGAUAUCAGGAGGAACACCGAUGGCGAAGGCAGGUCUCUGGGCCACUACUGACGCUGAGAAGCGAAAGCAUGGGGAGCGAACAGG
rnacentral:rRNA from 1 species